rnacentral:rRNA from 1 species
ACUUUAGCUUGCUAAAGUUGGAAGAGUUGCGAACGGGUGAGUAACGCGUAGGUAACCUGCCCUCUAGCGGGGGAUAACUAUUGGAAACGAUAGCUAAUACCGCAUAACAGCAUUUAACCCAUGUUAGAUGCUUGAAAGGAGCAAUUGCUUCACUAGUAGAUGGACCUGCGUUGUAUUAGCUAGUUGGUGAGGUAACGGCUCACCAAGGCGACGAUACAUAGCCGACCUGAGAGGGUGAUCGGCCACACUGGGACUGAGACACGGCCCAGACUCCUACGGGAGGCAGCAGUAGGGAAUCUUCGGCAAUGGGGGCAACCCUGACCGAGCAACGCCGCGUGAGUGAAGAAGGUUUUCGGAUCGUAAAGCUCUGUUGUAAGAGAAGAACGUGUGUGAGAGUGGAAAGUUCACACAGUGACGGUAACUUACCAGAAAGGGACGGCUAACUACGUGCCAGCAGCCGCGGUAAUACGUAGGUCCCGAGCGUUGUCCGGAUUUAUUGGGCGUAAAGCGAGCGCAGGCGGUUUAAUAAGUCUGAAGUUAAAGGCAGUGGCUUAACCAUUGUUCGCUUUGGAAACUGUUAGACUUGAGUGCAGAAGGGGAGAGUGGAAUUCCAUGUGUAGCGGUGAAAUGCGUAGAUAUAUGGAGGAACACCGGUGGCGAAAGCGGCUCUCUGGUCUGUAACUGACGCUGAGGCUCGAAAGCGUGGGGAGCAAACAGGAUUAGAUACCCUGGUAGUCCACGCCGUAAACGAUGAGUGCUAGGUGUUAGGCCCUUUCCGGGGCUUAGUGCCGCAGCUAACGCAUUAAGCACUCCGCCUGGGGAGUACGACCGCAAGGUUGAAACUCAAAUGAAUUGACG